rnacentral:rRNA from 1 species
GAUACCCCUGUAGUCCUGGCCGUAAACGAUGAACACUAGGUGUCGGGGGAAUCGACCCCCUCGGUGUCGUAGCCAACGCGUUAAGUGUUCCGCCUGGGGAGUACGCACGCAAGUGUGAAACUCAAAGGAAUUGACGGGGGCCCGCACAAGCGGUGGAGUAUGUGGUUUAAUUCGAUGCAACGCGAAGAACCUUACCAGGGUUUGACAUCCUGCGAAUCCCUUGGAAACUUGGGAGUGCCUUCGGGAGCGCAGUGACAGGUGGUGCAUGGCUGUCGUCAGCUCGUGUCGUGAGAUGUUGGGUUAAGUCCCGCAACGAGCGCAACCCACGUCUUUAGUUGCCAGCAUUUAGUUGGGCACUCUAGAGAGACUGCCGGUGAUAAACCGGAGGAAGGUGUGGAUGACGUCAAGUCAUCAUGCCCCUUACAUCCUGGGCUACACACGUACUACAAUGCUACGGACAAAGGGCAGCAAACUCGCGAGAGCUAGCAAAUCCCAUAAACCGUGGCUCAGUUCAGGUCGUAGGCUGCAACUCGCCUACGUGAAGGAGGAAUCGCUAGUAAUCGCAGGUCAGCAUACUGCGGUGAAUACGUUCCCGGGCCUUGUACACACCGCCCGUCACACCAUGGAAGUUGGCCACGCCCGAAGUCGUUACUCCAACCCUUGUGGAGGAGGAUGCCGAAGGUGGGGCUGAUGACUGGGGUGAAGUCGUAACAAGGUAGCCGUACCGGAAGGUGC